rnacentral:rRNA from 1 species
GACAGAGGGUGCAAACGUUGUUCGGAAUUACUGGGCGUAAAGCGUGCGUAGACGGUUGUCUAAGUCGGAUGUGAAAUCCCCGGGCUCAACCUGGGAAUUGCAUUCGAGACUGAACAGCUAGGGUGCGGAAGAGGGAAGCGGAAUUUCCGGUGUAGCAGUGAAAUGCGUAGAUAUCGGAAGGAACAUCAGUGGCGAAAGCGGCUUCCUGGUCCAGCACCGACGUCAGGCACGAAAGCGUGGGGAGCAAACAGG